rnacentral:rRNA from 1 species
AUUGAACGCUGGCGGCAUGCUUUACACAUGCAAGUCGAACGGUAACAGGCCGCAAGGUGCUGACGAGUGGCGAACGGGUGAGUAAUGCAUCGGAACGUGCCCAGUCGUGGGGGAUAACGCAGCGAAAGCUGUGCUAAUACCGCAUACGAUCUAUGGAUGAAAGCGGGGGACCGUAAGGCCUCGCGCGAUUGGAGCGGCCGAUGUCAGAUUAGCUAGUUGGUGGGGUAAAGGCCCACCAAGGCGACGAUCUGUAGCUGGUCUGAGAGGACGACCAGCCACACUGGGACUGAGACACGGCCCAGACUCCGACGGGAGGCAGCAGUGGGGAAUUUUGGACAAUGGGCGAAAGCCUGAUCCAGCCAUGCCGCGUGCAGGAUGAAGGCCUUCGGGUUGUAAACUGCUUUUGUACGGAACGAAAAGACUCUUUCUAAUAAAGAGGGUCCAUGACGGUACCGUAAGAAUAAGCACCGGCUAACUACGUGCCAGCAGCCGCAGUAA